rnacentral:lncRNA from 1 species
UCAACAUUAUGUAAUAUUGAUGAAGCUACCGCGAAGACUAUGAAAUUAGAAAUGGAGAACAAUUUGAAGAAAUGACUUUAGUUUUUUGUGUAUUGACCCCUAACCGAAUUGUUUGGGAUUCAAAAGUGAAAGAAAUCAUUUUAUAUACUAAAAGUGGUCAAAUUGGCGUAUUAUCAAAUCAUGCCCCUAUUGCUACAGCUGUAGAUAUUGAGAUUUUGAGAAUACGCUUCAAGGACCAAUGGUUAAUGAUGGCUCUGAUGGGUGGUUUUGCUAAAAUAGUAAAUAAUGAGA